rnacentral:rRNA from 1 species
GUGUCCUCCAUCACGAUCUCAAAUGAAACUAUCCAUGGAAUCGUGCACCGUGUGACAUGUAGAUCAUCGUAGUUCUUAACCGAGACUCAUGUUAAGCUCCAUCUCGGAACCAUCGUGGUAAAGCAUCUCGAGGUUGGCGCAGCCCAUUGGGCGUGGAGAAGCAUUGGGAACCCUAAUAUCUUUCUUGGGAGCAGUUUCUUUUCCCAUCCCCUCGCCCCAGCAUAG